rnacentral:rRNA from 1 species
AGAAGAGGCGGGCAACAUCGCUUUCCAUCUGGUUAAUGGUCAGACCGAUGUGCAAAAUAUGGAGCACACGUUGCUGGCGAUGAAGAUGUUGAAGGACAUUUUCAAUAUCAUCAAAUACCAUUUUCGCAUCAAUAUCGAUACCGACUCGCUCAACUACUCGCGUUUUCUGGUGCAUAUACAGUUUUUUAUUCAGCGCAUGGUUGAAGGGCAACAGAUGGCGUCGAAAGACGAUUUUAUCUUUGGCCAGGUAACCAAAGAGUAUCCGCACGCCUAUCGUGGUGCGCUGCUGAUCCGCGACUACGUGAAAAAUCUGCUGCAGAUGGAGAUGUCGAGCGACGAGCUGCUGUAUCUGGUGAUCCACCUGACGCGCAUCGCCGACAAACAAGACUAGUCGGGCUGCUGCUCACUGACCGCUUCGGCUACCAGAUCGCGAAAGCGAGUGACGAUGGCGGAGGAGCGGUUGCUGCGCAGCGCCAGAUAAAGUGGUGCGCUGAGCUGGGCCUGGUCGCUAAUCGCCCGGUAGACGAUGCCGUCACCGCCUAGCCGCCGCAUUGAAGCCGGCACGAUCGACAGCCCCAAACCGGCACCCACCAGGCUGAGGGUAGCGGGCAGGCGCGGGGCUUCCUGGAUAACGCGGGGGCUGAAUCCGGCGCGGUGACAGGCGGCCAAAAUGGCAUCAUACAAACCCUGGCUGCAGGCCGGCGGUAUAGAAUAAAGGCUUCAUGGAGUAACGUCCGUUAGCGGCAGCGGUUGUUCGACAUCGACCGCCAACGGGUGACCGAUCGGCAGGGCGACCAACAUGGGUUCACUCAGCACCGGCUCAAUCGUCAAUCCAGGAAUGCCGCCUACCGGCGAACGUACAAAAGUCGCGUCGAGCCUUUCAUCCACCAGUGCAUCCAGCAACUCACCGCUGCCGGCCUUUCUAAUGAGUGGUAAUGCCCGGCAGGAUCAACCGGAAGGAUCCGGAAUCGAAUUCCC